CCCCCGGGGGUAGGGCGGGGCCAAAAUGGCCGACCAAAUUUUUACAUAGAAAUAUGUAGGAAAAUUCUUUAAAAAUCUUCUUCUCAAGAAUGACAAAGCCAUAAUUCAUCAUAUUUAUAUGGGAGCAUGCUCAGGUAGUGUAGAUUCAAGUUUGUUCAAAUCAUGACCCCCCGGGGUAGGGCGGGGCCAAAAUAGCCGACCAAAGUUUUACAUAGAAAUAUAUAGGAAAAUUCUUUAAAAAUCUUCUUCCCAAGAAUGACAAAGCCAUAAAUCAUCAUAUUUAUAUGGAAGCAUGCUCAGGUAGUGUAGAUUCAAGUUUGUUCAAAUGAUGACCCCCGGGGGUAGGAUGGGGCCAAAAUGGCCGACCAAAGUUUUACAUAGAAAUAUAUAGGAAAAUUCUUUAAAAAUCUUCUUCUCAAGAAUGACAAAGCCAUAAUUCAUCAUAUUUAUAUGGGAGCAUGCUCAGGUAGUGUAGAUUCAAAUUUGUUCAAAUAAUGACCCCCGGGGUAGGGCGGGGCCAAAAUGGCCGACCAAACUUUUACAUAGAAAUAUAUAGGAAAAUUCUUUAAAAAUCUUCUUCUCAAGAAUAGCAAAGCCAUAGUUGAUCAUAUUUAUAUGGAAGCAUGCUCAGGUAUUGUAGAUUCAAGUUUGUUCAAAUCAUGACCCCCCGGGGUAGGGCGGGACCAAAAUAGCCGACCAAAGUUUUACAUAGAAACAUAUAAGAAAAUUCUUUAAAAAUCUUCUUCUCAAGAAUGACAAAGCCAUAAUUCAUCAUAUUUAUAUGGAAGCAUGCUCAAGUAGUGUAGAUUCAAAUUUGUUCAAAUCAUGACCCCCAGGGGUAGGGCGGGGCCAAAAUGGCUGACCAAAGUUUUUAAAGAUAUAUAUAUAGGAAAAUUCUUUAAAAAUCAUUUUCUAAAAAAUAGCAAAUCCAUGAUUGGUCAUGGGACUACUUUUGGAUUUAAACUUUACAAUAAAAAGCCAUUUUCUACUUUUUCCUACCCUUAGUGCUCAGGUGAGUGAUGUGGCCCAUGGGCCUCUUGUUAAAAAUUAAUUAUAUUGAUUAUUAAUUAGUGCUGGUUUUUGCCCCAAAAUAUUGUGCUUACUUAUCAUUGUACAUGUAUACUUUAUUUAUAAUUGGUUGGGUACCACUAUUAACCCACCAAAUGUGUACCAUAUUAUUAUUAAGAGUACAGCCUUGUUCUUUUCAAAUUGUUUUAUGAUUUUAAAUUUUAAUUAUGAUUUAAAAGAUAUAUUUUGCUCAUUUUUGUGUUUUAUUGUAACAUUUUGGCAAAUAUGUACAAAGACUUUUUUAUUUUAUGUGUUGUUCUGAAAAAGAUCUGGGUAAAACUUUUACUGAAAAUGUCCCUAUUCUAAAAUGUGCCAUGUCUUCAAUGCCAGCUGAAUUGAAUUUUAGUUCCCUAUUUAUCCAGAAAUAUUUGUAUGCUUAUUGUGGAGCUGUUGAAUGCUCAAUGUUGAAUCACGAGUUCUUUAUAUUUGUAACAAUCUUAAUAUAUCUAGUGUAGAGAUAUGUUUAGUUUAUAAUUUAUACACUCAAUAUGAAUACAUUUUCCAUAGCCAAGGGUUUUGGAUCCAAAAUCUACAACAAAGUAGAUUUUGGAUUGGAAAUCCUUGGCUUGCAAAGGUGAUAUACAUGAAAAGCUUGUAUAGAUCCAUCCCAUAGCAGAUUCAAAAUGUAAUCAGACUUAGACACCUUACGAAGUAUAAAAUCGUAAGUAAUUAGUUUUUUUUAAUUUUCAAAGUAUUUUCAUUGAAAUUUUAGCAUGUAGAUUUUUUCAUACAUGUACUGCAAUAAUCAGUGUUAACAUGCAGUCAUUUUGAGCGAAUACUUUUUGCAUGUGUCUGUACCACAAUUUUUAAUCUUUGCUAGUCAAUAGAAUACUGUAAGUCGUUUUAAUUUCAUGACAUUAAAAUUUCACAAUUUCUUAAAAAGUACCAAUUCAAAUGUGAUGGUUUUAAUUUCACAUUGCAAGAAAUUAAUUUUAAUUUCUUGUACGCAUUUAAACAUUUUGAAAAACUAAUAACAGCAUUCACGAUGGGUUUAAUUUCGCGGAAAAAUGAUGAAUUGCGAACAUAGCAAAAUUAAAACUAUCGUGAUUAUUUUCCAAUCUACAGUAUCUCUCAUUGUUUGUUGGGAACGUUGCAGAAAAGGGGACAUAAGUUGCUCAUGCCAGUUUCUUCUUAUUCAAUGGUUCAUUACUGUAUUCAGGUAAACAAAGAAAAUAUUAACACAAUAAUAUGGGAACAUAACAAUUAUAGUUCACAUUAAAAAAAAAUUUGUGUUCAAUCUGAAUUUUAUGAACCUUUCCUAUAACCUUUGACUGACAGAAAUAUUAAUAUCUUUAUUGGUAUUCUGUAUCUAUGUGCUUAUUUUGUACACCAGUCUAUAUUGGAACAUUCUGUAUGAUAGUCUUCAAUUUUGUGUAUUUUAUCAGAGAACAUCAUACGGUUGUUUGACUAUUCCUCUCCUUUGUCUGACAAAUAUCUAUAAAUAAUACAGUUAUUCUGUGUUAAUUUGCUCAUGUAUCUUUAAUAGUUGUCUUUUAUGCCUAUCCAUAUUGUAACAUUUUUUUUUUAUGAUAUUCUUUAGUUUUAACAGAGAACAUUGUAUAUUGGUUAUAUGAUACCUUUUAUCAAAAGAAACUUUUUGUUCAUUCAUUAGACUGAAAGGUUCAGUGUUAAUAACCAACAGUGAACUAAUAAAAUAAUUUUUUUAAAA